CCUACGAGCGGCAGCAGUGAGGAAUAUUGGUCAAUGGGCGCGAGCCUGAACCAGCCAAGCCGCGUGAAGGAUGACUGCCCUACGGGUUGUAAACUUCUUUUAUAAGGGAAUAAAGUGAGGCACGUGUGCCUUUUUGUAUGUACUUUAUGAAUAAGGAUCGGCUAACUCCGUGCCAGCAGCCGCGGUAAUACGGAGGAUCCGAGCGUUAUCCGGAUUUAUUGGGUUUAAAGGGAGCGUAGAUGGGUUGUUAAGUCAGUUGUGAAAGUUCGCGGCUCAACCGUAAAAUUGCCUUUGAUACUGGCAGUCUAGAGUACAGUUGAGGUAGGCGGAAUGCGUGGUGUAGCGGUGAAAUGCUUAGAGAUCACGAAGAACUCCGAUUGCGAAGGCAGCUUACUAAACUGCCACUGACAUUGAUGCUCGAAAGUGUGGGUAUCAAACAGGAUUAGAUACCCCUGUAGUC
rnacentral:rRNA from 1 species